GCCUGGUUGAUAGCAUUGUUUCUGUGUCUUGUGUUCUGAUUUUGUCACUUUCCCAAGCAAUGUCUACAAAUUUAUCAGUGUGGUUAUAGGUUUGCCUCUUUCUGUUUUAUGGAUGAAUGUAUUUCUCCAGCUCUGUUGGUCAGGACUAUUGGAUAAUAUUUUCAGGAAUUGCCUCAUUGUUGUGGGAUUCUUUGUAUAUGACACUUUUUUGUCUAAUACCAAAGCAGCAUUUCUCUUUCUGCUAUCAUUGUCUGAAAAGCGUGUAUUUAAAGCAUUUUUGUUUGUAGAGACAGCAGUAGCAGAUUAUGAGCUAGAGGCAAGUCAGGGCUGUAUUGUAAAACUCUAUCUCAAAAAACAAAAACAAAAAACAAACUAAAUGUAAACUAAAAAAUACAUAUAUAAGUAUAUGAAAAUACAUGGAAGGGUGCAUUAUAUCAUGUAAUAAAUUCUAACUCAAGGAUCAACAGGAUUUUGGGCUAGAGGGAGAGCUCAGUGGUUAAAAACACUUGCUGUUCUGAUAGAGGACCUGGGUUGGGCUCCCACAGAGCAGGAAGCAAUCAUCAUUAACUCUAGUUCCAGGGUUUCCACUGCCCUCUUUGGGUUUCCGUGGGCACCAGGUAUGCAUAUGAGGCACAUACAUACAUGCAAAAUAUUCUUACAC
ensembl:sense_intronic Gm15809 predicted gene 15809